ACCAGCACCUGCUGAGAUUCUCUCAGCUAGACAAUCUUUAAAGGUAUAGUUUUCAACUCCUGUAACUGGAAACUUUACAUCUAGUUUUACAUCUUGGGGAAGCUGAAAACAAACCAGGAUUUGAAGAUUGUUAACCAUCUCCAUCUCUCCCUAACCUUGUCUUCUCCAGGUUAUACUUUCCUGAAAGCUCUUCCCUAUCAUGAACACUCUUCAUCAUUUUCACUGUGGUCCUCUGAGGAUGUUCCCAUUUCUCUACAUGCUUCUUCAAGACUGGGUAACCCUUUUCCGAGGAACAAGAUGUCCUUCAGCCAUCUGACAUUUGGAAAAUGCUGA
rnacentral:lncRNA from 11 species